rnacentral:rRNA from 1 species
AUGAAUAUAAAAAGUUGUGGGGCUGUGAUAAGUCUUAAGAAGUGGUCUGAAUCUGUUGGUGCCAAGGGUGUACUUAACAUUGCUUGGGUCAAUGUUAGCAACAUCCCUCUGGACAAAAGACAUGAAAAAAACAUUGCAUAUGUUGGAUCAUUGGUGGGUGUAACCUUAGACAUCGAUAAAUCCACUGUUAACAGACCUAAAUCUGUCAGAAUUAAGUUGGGCUGCAGAGAUGCUGAAAAAAUACCUGAAAAGGCUGAGGGAGUGUUGGGUGACCACUUUUGUGACUUCUUCCAUUCUGUUGACAAAAUACUGGUUAAAAAUCCUCCAAAAGAAAGUGUAACUGUGGCAUAG